rnacentral:lncRNA from 1 species
CAACAGAAGAGAUGAACUUUACAGAGCUUAAGUGAUUAUUUGUGAAGUAAUUAAAUGAGCUAAUUGUGUUGGGAGUUCAGAAGAGGGAGAGAUGCGAGAGGUUGUCUCAAACCCCACAGAGAGGAGGAGUUGAGCUGAGUCCCAGAGGAUCGUCUGCAUUGGUCUAGGUAGGUGUGUAGGUGGAGAACAUUCCAGGUGGAUAAGUGGCAUGAGCAGAGGUUGAUGGCAUGAAAGCUGACUCUGUUUGAGUGACAAUGAAUAAGACAGGUUGUCUGGAGGGGAAGGAGUUGGUGUUGGAUCUGUGGGAGGAUCACCAGCUUCUUUAGCACAGUGCUUGGCUUAUGCCCAGGCCUCUAGGGCUACCUUUACACCCAGUCAUCACAUCAGCCAGGAUCCUAGAUGUUCAGAUGUGUGUGUGCUCAACAAUGAGAAUUGGCUGCAGUUCUCAUUGUAUAGAACAGUUCUUGUUCGUGAUUAACUUAUAAGAGUAGAUUCUCUGUAGUCAUUAACAUAGUCACAGCAAAGGGAAGCUCCAUAUUGUCCUUUCCAGCCAUAAAUCAAUCCUCUGAAAGAAAAGAGUUCUCUCCUGGAUAGUUUGAAUUUUGUAUCACCCUAACAUCCCUCUAGAUUAUUUAGUGUUCAGCUGUGUGCACUCCUGGGAUCCUGCUUCUGUGCCCCUUGGAUAUUUGUUUCACUUUGUAGGUGAC